UCUUUUCCUUUUGUGCCCGCAGCCGCGGUAAUACGGAAGGUCCGGGCGUUAUCCGGAUUUAUUGGGUUUAAAGGGAGCGUAGGCCGGAGAUUAAGCGUGUUGUGAAAUGUAGAUGCUCAACCUCUGCACUGCAGCGCGAACUGGUUUCCUUGAGUACGCACAAAGUGGGCGGAAUUCGUGGUGUAGCGGUGAAAUGCUUAGAUAUCACGAAGAACUCCGAUUGCGAAGGCAGCUCACUGGAGCGCAACUGACGCUGAAGCUCGAAAGUGCGGGUAUCGAACAGG
rnacentral:rRNA from 1 species